rnacentral:rRNA from 1 species
UACACACCGGUACUACAUGGCCGGUACACGGGAAGCGAAGGAGCGAUGGAGCCAAUCCUAGAGCCGGUCUCAGUUCGGAUUGCAGGCUGCAACUCGCCUGCAUGAAGUCGGAAUUGCUAGUAAUCGCGGAUCACAUGCCGCGGUGAAUACGUUCCCGGGUCUUGUCACACCGCCGUCACACCACGAGAGUUACAACACCCGAAGUCGGUGAGUAACCGUAAGGGGCCAGCCGCCGAAGUGGGGUAGAUGAUUGGGGUGAAGUCGUAACA